rnacentral:misc_RNA from 1 species
UUAAGUUCAGCGGGUAUCCCUACCUGAUCCGAGGUCAACCUAUAAAAAUUGGGGUGUUUUACGGCGGGGGACGAUCCAACUACAGAGACGAGAUAAAAUUUACUACGCCUAGAGUGUGAACCGACUCCGCCACUAACUUUAAGGAACUACAUCGCUGUAGGUUCCCAACGCUAAGCAACGAGGGCUUAAGGGUUGAAAUG